rnacentral:rRNA from 1 species
CCCAGACUCCUACGGGAGGCAGCAGUGGGGAAUAUUGCACAAUGGGGGAAACCCUGAUGCAGCGACGCCGCGUGAGUGAAGAAGUAUUUCGGUAUGUAAAGCUCUCUCAGCAGGGAAGAAAAUGACGGUACCUGAUUAAGAAGCCCCGGCUAACUACGUGCCAGCAGCCGCGGUAAUACGUAGGGGGCAAGCGUUAUCCGGAUUUACUGGGUGUAAAGGGAGCGUAGACGGUGAUGCAAGUCAGAAGUGAAAGCCCGGGGCUCAACUCCGGGACUGCUUUUGAAACUGUGUGACUGGAGUGCAGGAGAGGUAAGCGGAAUUCCUGGUGUAGCGGUGAAAUGCGUAGAUAUCAGGAGGAACACCAGUGGCGAAGGCGGCUUACUGGACUGUAACUGACGUUGAGGCUCGAAAGCGUGGGGAGCAAACAGGAUUAGAUACCCCCGUA